rnacentral:rRNA from 1 species
UACGGAGGGAGCUAGCGUUGUUCGGAAUUACUGGGCGUAAAGCGCACGUAGGCGGCUUUGCAAGUUAGAGGUGAAAGCCCGGGGCUCAACUCCGGAAUUGCCUUUAAAACUGCAUCGCUAGAGUUGUGGAGAGGUAAGUGGAAUUCCGAGUGUAGAGGUGAAAUUCGUAGAUAUUCGGAAGAACACCAGUGGCGAAGGCGACUUACUGGACGAUUGUUGACGCUGAGGUGCGAAAGCGUGGGGAGCAAACAGG